rnacentral:lncRNA from 1 species
ACCCAAGCCUAAUUAAAAUUAAAUAGACGUUGGCCCCUAGGAUCAAUUGAGUUCAGUUUGAGUAUUGUGGUGAAGUCAAGUACAAAGUAAGUUUGAACUUACCCCUGAAACUGGUGUCUAAGGCAAGAGAUUACAAAGGAUAAGCCUAAGCAAACUCGUGGUUAUUUAAUUGAUUUCGUUAGCUUACCUGACCAAUCUAAUUGGUGUCUAAUGCAAGCAAUGGGGAG